GAAAAAAAUAAAACUGUUUUAAUGAAUACUUUGUACUUUCAUUUUGAAAAGCGUUCAGUUCUCUUUGAAAUGAAAGUGAAAUUGAUCUUCAAGAAAGUAUUUUGUUUAAAUUAAAAGUAUGCUUCACCUUAAUGUAUUCUCUCAUUUAAAAGUUCUCUUUUUCAAAAAUAUUGUUUUGCAAGUUUCAAAUCACCGACGCUGGCUGUCAAGAUCGAGGUCAAGAUCAUGACGACGCUAACCAGAGUUACUGUUCUGACAAAAACAAAACAGUCAGCGUCGCGAAGAAACGCACAUAAAAGGCAAAGUUUCUUUUAUUUAAUAUUUCGCGAUCGGACAUCUGCCGCGGCCUUCGAGGAGUCUUUAAGAAAACGCCUGCAUAAAGGACAAUUGGAAACUCAAAACAUCUACAAGGGUUAUUACCAGUUCUGAUGAGAAUGGCUGGUGGUCAAAUUCUAAUAUGCUCAGCGAGACAGCCCCAAUUAGACGACCAAUGUAUUCGCAGAAAAAUACCAAGAAGAUAUGUACCGAAAAACGGCGGAAGAUCUUUUCGGAAAAAGUCGAGACUGGAGAUCGUUACAGUUUCUUACGAAACCUACGAGCGCUGUUCGUCACUCCCAGCUACAUGAAUCUUGACCCGUUUUAAAUUAUCGGCGUUUACAAAAACAACGAUUUCUUAUAAAAAAUAUGUUUUGGAAUGAACAAUAAAUAAAUUGAAUA